CGUUUGAUAGUCCAAUCGGUUAGGAUAAUUGCCUUCCAAGCAAUAGACCGGGUUCAACUCCCGGCAAACGC
rnacentral:tRNA from 1 species